UACGUAGGGGGCUAGCGUUGUUCGGAAUUACUGGGCGUAAAGCGCACGUAGGCGGAUUUGUAAGUCAGGGGUGAAAUCCCGGGGCUCAACCUCGGAACUGCCUUUGAUACUGCAAAUCUCGAGUCCGGAAGAGGUGAGUGGAAUUCCGAGUGUAGAGGUGAAAUUCGUAGAUAUUCGGAGGAACACCAGUGGCGAAGGCGGCUCACUGGUCCGGUACUGACGCUGAGGUGCGAAAGCGUGGGGAGCAAACAGG
rnacentral:rRNA from 1 species